AUGGCGCCGAAGAAGACGCCCAAGGGCAAAUCCGGUUUCGUCGGCGUGAGGGCGAAGCCCUCCGGGAACUUCGGAGUGGAGUUCUCUGACGCCGGGCGGCGUUGGUGGCUCGGCACGUAUCCAACCGCCGAUGAGGCCGCGCGUGCCUACGACGUGGCGGUGCGGCGUGCCGGACGGCCGAAGACGGACCUCAACUUCCCGGACGUCGAAACCCGGGCGGUGGCAGAGUGGCUCGUGCCGCAGGGCAUCCAGAUGAAGGAGAUGCCGGUGAAGAUGGCGAAGAAGAGACCGGCAGUUGUCGUCGCUCCCGGCGAGAGCGACGAGGCAACGAUGGCUCGAUUUGCGCGAGAGCAUCCGCAGUACGUCCAGGCCGAGCUGGAGCACUACUAG
rnacentral:rRNA from 1 species